GACGAAGGGGGCUAGCGUUGUUCGGAAUUACUGGGCGUAAAGCGCGUGUAGGCGGUUGUCCAAGUUGGAUGUGAAAGCCUUGAGCUUAACUCAAGAAAUGCAUUCAGGACUGGAUGACUAGAGGACCGGAGAGGAUAGUGGAAUUCCCAGUGUAGUGGUGAAAUACGUAGAGAUUGGGAAGAACACCAGUGGCGAAGGCGACUACCUGGCCUGUUCUUGACGCUGAGGCGCGAAAGCUAGGGGAGCAAACGGG
rnacentral:rRNA from 1 species